GCAGAGCACUCCUACGGGAGGCAGCAGUGGGGAAUAUUGCACAAUGGGGGAAACCCUGAUGCAGCCAUGCCGCGUGUGUGAAGAAGGCCUUCGGGUUGUAAAGCACUUUCAGUAGGGAGGAAGGUAGUGUAGUUAACACCUGCAUUAUUUGACGUUACCUACAGAAGAAGCACCGGCUAACUCCGUGCCAGCAGCCGCGGUAAUACGGAGGGUGCGAGCGUUAAUCGGAAUUACUGGGCGUAAAGCGCAUGCAGGCGGCCUGUUAAGUCAGAUGUGAAAGCCCGGGGCUUAACCUCGGAAUUGCAUUUGAAACUGGCAGGCUAGAGUCUUGUAGAGGGGGUAGAAUUUCAGGUGUAGCGGUGAAAAUGCGUAGAGAUCUGAAGGAAUACCAGUGGCGAAGGCGGCCCCCUGGACAAAGACUGACGCUCAGAUGCGAAAGCGUGGGGAGCAAACAGGAUUAGAUACCCUGGUAG
rnacentral:rRNA from 1 species